UUCUCGGUUAUUGCAGCUCAAUCUCUCUCCUCACCCACCAUCUCAAUCUUUCUUCAUUUACGGUGGCCACCUCCAAGCCGAGAUGCCGCCGCUGCCCACUUCUCAUUUCUUGUUCAGCCUCGUCAUCUCUCUCUGCGUGGAUGAGAUGCCGGUGGAUCUGAUCGUCGAGGCUCUUCAGAUCUAUCUGAUCCGCCCUCACGAAUCCACCGCUGGUGUGGACGUUCCCUCCACCAUUUCUCCGGAAAGCGCAGAUGCAACGUCAGUGGAGCUUACGGCGGGAACGCGCAAUAAGCGACGACCUUCAACAGCGAAAAGAUCUGAGGCAAAAAUUCUCUUCCUCGUCAGAUUUUUGACAAAUGCCCCAAAACAUUGAGAAAACGGUUGGGAAAUCGAAGGGAGUCAUGCAGCUAUUCAAAUUUGUAAAUGAAAAAGGAAAUGCCAUGAUUAACAGUUCAAAAUCAAAGUCAAAGCUUAAAUGGGUGAGAGAAAGAAGCAUGCCAAGAAGUUCAUGAGAUAAGCGUAUAAAACAUGUGCGAAAAAGUUUGAAAGGAACAGCUAGAGAUGCUGAGGACAACAGUAACACGAUUGUAAGCAAAGCGAGCCAAUAAGUCCGGAUAGUCCUAUUGAUGGGACUCCUAGACCUGCAGUUCAUUUGUCAUGCAAAGUUUUUAUUGCUUCUGAAACCAGCACACAUGGUGGAUUUUCUGUCUUUCAUAAACAUGCAAAUGAGUGUCUUCCCCCAUUGAAUAUGAGCCAACAGAUUCUGAGCUUCCGACACAGGAAUUGAUUGCUAGGGAUACACAUGGAAAUGAAUGGCAAUUCAAACAUAUAUUUAGAGGCAUGGAAAUAGUAGCUCUACGGGCAUGAUACUAAUAGAUAGAAAUUAUAGAUGUUAUAUAUUAGAGGAAGAGAAUGGGGUUUUAAGAGUACAAAAUGACUAAAAUUGGUGUUGUGCAUUAAAGGAAAUGAUCCCAAUAGAUUGCAAAUAGAAGUGGCAAAAAAGGUAAAUCAUUGAACAGAAAUUGUAAAAUGAGUUGCAGGAACUUCGUGAUCCAAAAUAUGAAUGAGAGAUAACACUCAAGAUUUCACAGAUGAGGUGCAUCACGGCAAUGACAAAUACAGGUGACUUAUUGAGUUAAAAAAAAACCUAACCCUAAAAAUAUAAUAGCCGCCUCUCACUCCCAACUCUUCAGAAAAAGGAAAGAGAAGGAAAAGAAAAGCGGUCUCUCUCUCUUCACUCUACAAUCAUUAUAGAGAGAAGAUAACAUUGCAAGCAUGGGCGGCUACAAUACCUACUCCUACUCUACUGAAUCAAGACAUCACCAUAUUAAAAAAAAGGUAUGUAAUUCUUUCUUUUCGAGCUAUGUCCUGUAUCUAUAUUUGACAACAUAGUCAUAUCUAAUUUACAUGAGCAUAAUGUUGAUGAGGUAUUAGAGAUUAUUAGAGUCAGAUUUCAAAUACAAUUACUACUCUUUGCAAAUAUUAAUUCUAGAAUGCUUUGCAAAUCCUAUCAUCUAUUUAUUUAAUAGGAUGUAUUAUGUCUCCAAUUUUCUUUACACAAACGAAUUCAAUGCUUAGUUUCUAAAAAAUAUAUACUACUUGAUAGGUUUUUCAUUUAGUAUGGUAUCUGUUCAUUUACAACAGAUUUAUAAAUUUAUAUUCUUUCCCACUCUCUCUGUCUCUUUCUUUCUUUCUUUCUUAUUUUUCAUGUUCUAAAAUUUUAAUUUCAUUCUCUCUUUCUUUUUUCUUUUUUUUCAUGUUCUAAAACUGUGACUAUAUUCUCUCACUCUGGAUUUCUUUGAUGUUGCUUCAUUGAUAAUUAUAAAUAUAAGUUUUAAAUAUGAAUACUAACAUAUUAUUUAACUUUGUUCAAGGACAAAUUGAAUUGGGAAUAGAUAAUUGCUAUUGCCUUGUAGGAAAGAUUUUUGUACGUUUAAUAGUUUGUCACCCUCAGUCUUUGUGUGAAGAUUUUUGUACAUUUAAUAGUUUGUCAACCUCCGUCUUUGUGCGUCUCUCGGCCUCUCUCUCUCUCUCUCUGUGUAUGUCUCAUGUUUCAUGAUCUGAAAUUAUGAUUUUAUUCUCAUUUUUCAUUUUCUAAAAUUGUGAUUUUAUACCCUGCCUCUCUGAUAUCAUAGGUACAAUUUCAUUCAUAAUUUCAAACCUAUACAUUAUAGGUUUUAAGUAUGAGUACUAACAUAUUAUUAAUACUUUUUCAGGGAUUGAGAAGAUAUUCUAGAAGAAUAAUAUAUAUAUAUAUAUAUAGUGUAAUAUAAUAGUAUUUUCUUACAAAAGCCUAUGCAAGUAUAAAACACAUAGGCUGCACCCUACCCCCACACAAUUCUCGAUACAUACAAAGAAAACUGAUAUAAGAUUUUAAUCAACUGGAGUUUACAAUAAGAGCACAGCCAAUAUUUUAUGAUGAUUCCCGCCAAAAAUAGUGCCACGUGGCAGGUCAAGCAUAGCAAGCUGGAAUAUAUACGACAAAAUGUUAAAUACACAUGCUAUAUUUUUCUUUAUAAAUAAACAUAACUUUUUGUACUCUUUAAAAUUAUUUAAUCUUAUUUGAGAAGCUAAUAUUGCUCAACAGGAGCUGCCUCUUUUUUGACCAAUGAUUGCCAUUUUUCAAAAUGACCAAAAGGGUAAAUAAAAUAGCUUUACAUUUUCCCUCCAAAAAGGAUAAAAUUGUCUUUCCAUCAAACUGCCACUUUAUAUUAGUAUAGAUUUACUGUACUCAAGCCUUGUAGAGCAUGGGGACCAGCAUUCGACGAAAUGAUGUGAAACACUAGUAGGUUGUUUUAAGUAUUGAGUGUACUCAAGGCUUAUGACGUUACUCCCUCUAUCCACGAAUAAAUAUCUUAUUUUGCUAUUUUCAUCCAUCCAUCAAUAUAAGUUUCAUUUCUCUUUUA